GACAGAGGCCCCAAGCGUUAGGCGGAAUCACUGGGCUUAAAGCGUGUGUAGGCGGAUCGUUAAGUGUCUUGUGAAAUCCCACGGCUCACCCGUGGAACGGCUGGGCAUACUGGCGAUCUUGGGCCAACUAGGGGCAGUCGGAACAAGCGGUGGAGCGGUGAAAUGCGUAGAUAUCGCUUGGAACGCCGAAGGUGAAAACAGGCUGCUGGGGUCGCGCCGACGCUGAGACACGAAAGCCAGGGGAGCAAACGGG
rnacentral:rRNA from 1 species